AGCCAGCCGGAGUGGUUUUGUUUUGUUUUGAUGCCAGCUGCUGCUGCUGCUGCUGCCGCCGCCGCCUUGUCAGCUGCUUCCCUCCCAAGAACAACAACAACGCCUAAUUCUCAACAACUGCAUCAUGCUGCGAACCCUCUCUGAACACAACUCCAAAAAGCAGCACUUGCAAGACUGAUGUCAGCAGAAGUAAUUGAGACAAGAAGCACACCCUGAAGUACUAAUUCUAUCUUUAUUGUAAGAUUACAUUAACAGAAUCUUUCAAGUCUGAAAGUACAUCUCUUGCACUUCAUCUUUACAGUCCAAGAAAUUGGGGGGGGGGUGUCCUUCUGAGACAUUUGCUAUGCCCCAAUCCUUCUGGAAACUCAGCUGCUCUUCUCUGACCAUUACCUAGUCUGUGGCUCCCUCUCCUACCUCCCAAGGUCAUUCUCACAUCCCAUUACAGAGGCAGAGCUUCGAUCACUACAUUGUGGCCACUAUCUUGACUUUUUUGACCUAUGCUGCAAACAUCCCUGGCUCUCAGAUGCACCCUUGCAAAAUCAGGAUCUGCCCACUUGCAGUCAUUUCGUAUCCAUUUUUAAUUACCCUUGAAGAAUGCUGAGAUAUCUCAGCUGAUUUCUCAGGUGAUCAAAACACAGGCAUUGACUACUGAAUGGAACAGGCAAAAUAUAAUUAUUGCAAAAUUUUAAAUAAUGUCAUUGGUUCACUGUCCAUUUCUGAAAACAUUUCUAAUUUUGACAAUAGCUCUUAAUGGCUGCAGUCUGUAUAUCUGGAAAAAAGCCUGUUCCUACAUUUUAAAUUUUAAGCUUGCUCUUGGUGCCCCAUGUUCUAAAGUUAGACUUAUUAGCGAACAGGAAAGAACCUGUUCCUCUCUGAAUGGCUUCCUUGAUGCCAACAUUGAUGUAUAAUUCAGAACAGUAUGAAAUCAGAUCAGUUUUUAAAGGUCUUAUGCAA